UGCAAUGACCGGCGAUGACCUGUGGAUAGCGGUGAAAUUCCAAUCGAACCCGGAGAUAGCUGGUUCUCCCCGAAAUAGCUUUAGGGCUAGCGUCGAGGUAAGUUGCGUGAAGGUAGAGCACUGAAUAUGUGAUGGCCCCAUCUCGGGGUACUGAGCAUAAUCAAACUGCGAAUGUCACGCCAACAUGCUCGGCAGUCAGACAGCGGGUGAUAAGGUCCGUUGUCAAGAGGGAAACAGCCCAGACCAUCAGCUAAGGUCCCAAAAUGUAUGCUAAGUGGAAAAGGAUGUGGAGAUGUACAGACAACUAGGAGGUUGGCUCAGAAGCAGCCAUCCUUUAAAGAGUGCGUAACAGCUCACUAGUCGAAUGACUCUGCGCCGAUAAUUUACCGGGGCUAAGCAUACUACCGAAGCUAUGGAUCCCAAGGGAUGGUAGGGGAGCGUUCCAUGAACGGAGAAGUACGACCGAAAGGACGUGUGGAGAUCAUGGAAGAGAGAAUGCCGGUGUGAGUAGCGGAACGUGGGUGAGAAUCCCACGCACCGAAAACCCAAGGUUUCCAGAGGAAGGUUCGUCCGCUCUGGGUAAGUCGGGACCUAAGGCGAGGCCGAAAGGCGUAGUCGAUGGACAACAGGUAGAGAUUCCUGUACCCGUAUAUAUGUGAAGGAAUGACGGAGAGAGGAAGCUGCAGCCAGCGGCUGGAAGAGCUGGUGCAAGCGAGAUAUCGGGAUGGCAGGCAAAUCCACCAUCCGAAACGAGAAGGCGUGAAGCGUACGGAAAGCUACGGCGAGUACGGAAGGCAGUGGAGGAACUUCCAAGAAAAGUUUCUAACGUUAAGUAUAUAUGGCCCGUACCGAAAAUGGACACACAUGGGUGAGGAGAGAAUCCUAAGGUGAGCGAGAGAACUAUAGCUAAGGAACUCUGCAAAAUGACUCCGUAACUUAGGGAGAAGGAGUGCUCAUAGAGAUAUGAGCCGCAGUGAAACGGCCCAAGCGACUGUUUACCAAAAACACAGCUCUCUGCUAAGCCGCAAGGCGAAGUAUAGGGGGUGACGCCUGCCCGGUGCUGGAAGGUUAAGGGGAGGGGUUAACGCAAGUGAAGCCCUGAACUGAAGCCCCAGUAAACGGCGGCCGUAACUAUAACGGUCCUAAGGUAGCGAAAUUCCUUGUCAGGUAAGUUCUGACCCGCACGAAAGGCGUAACGAUUUGGGCGCUGUCUCAGCUGUAGACUCGGUGAAGUCUUAGUACCUGUGAAGAUGCAGGUUACCCGCGACUAGACGGAAAGACCCCAUGGAGCUUCACUGCAGGUUGAUAUUGGGAUUUGAUGCAGCAUGUACAGGAUAGGUAGGAGGCAAAGAGAUGGAUACGCCAGUAUUCAAGGAGCCGCUGUUGGGAUACUACCCCUGUUGUAUUGGAUUUCUAACCGGACGACGUAGAGCCGUUGACGGGACAGUGUCAGUCGGGCAGUUUGACUGGGGCGGUCGCCUCCCAAAGAGUAACGGAGGCGCCCAAAGAUACCCUCAGCUUGGAUGGAAACCAAGCGCAGAGUGCAAAGGCAAAAGGGUGUUUGACUGCGAGACCCACAAGUCGAGCAGGGACGAAAGUCGGGCUUAGUGAUCCGGCGGUGCUGAAUGGAAAGGCCGUCGCUCAACGGAUAAAAGCUACCCUGGGGAUAACAGGCUGAUCUCCCCCAA
rnacentral:rRNA from 1 species